CUCAGAUUUAUGUUUCCGUAGUGUGGGAGCUUUGUUCUUUCACUGUUUGCGGCUCCAGAGAGAGACAAGGAGAUGAGGAGACAAGCAGACGAACAGCGGAACAAUGCAGCAGAGAAAGAGAGAAGAGAAGGAACGUCUGAACGUCGAGAGGAGUUCGGCUGCUGGACGGCCAAACUCCAGGGGAAGAUCAUCUUCCCACUCCAUUCCCCCUCCAGCUCCCCAUCCAUCCCACUGAGAGCCACUUCCACCACUCAAUAAAAGCCCCACAUUUAUCCUUCAAGUCCAUGUGUGAUCCAAUUCUUCUGGGAUGCUAAACAAGAACCUGGGAUACAGAAAGCUGUCACACUGGCCCUCUGCCCUUGCAGAAAGGCAGAGGGGCCCUGAGCUGGUUGAUACUUAAGCUGUCUGUGGAUGGCAGAACUAAAAGAGCAUUGG
rnacentral:lncRNA from 10 species